rnacentral:rRNA from 1 species
UACAUGGGGUGCAAACGUUGCUCGGAAUCAUUGGGCGUAAAGCGCGCGUAGGCGGUUACUUAAGUUGGAUGUGAAAGCCCUCGGCUUAACUGAGGAAGUGCAUCCAAAACUGAGUAGCUAGAGUACGAAAGAGGGUCGCGGAAUUCCCGGUGUAGAGGUGAAAUUCGUAGAUAUCGGGAGGAACACCGGUGGCGAAGGCGGCGACCUGGGUCGAUACUGACGCUGAGGUGCGAAAGCGUGGGGAGCAAACAGG